rnacentral:rRNA from 1 species
CCUACGGGUGGCAGCAGUGGGGAAUAUUGCGCAAUGGGCGAAAGCCUGACGCAGCGACGCCGCGUGAGGGAUGAAGGUCUUCGGAUCGUAAACCUCUGUCAGCAGGGAAGAACGGUCACUGUGCUAAUCAGCAGUGAAUUGACGGUACCUGCAAAGGAAGCACCGGCUAACUCCGUGCCAGCAGCCGCGGUAAUACGGAGGGUGCGAGCGUUAAUCGGAAUUACUGGGCGUAAAGCGCUCGUAGGCGGUAUGGCAAGUCAAGGGGGAAAUCCCCGGGGUCAACGUGGGAACUGCCUUUGAAACUGGCAAACUGGAGUGGGUGAGAGGAAAGUGGAAUGCCAGGUGUAGGGGUGAAAUCCGUAGAUAUCAGGAGGAACAUCAGUGGCGAAGGCGACUAUCUGGCACAUAACUGACGCUGAGGAGCGAAAGCGUGGGUAGCAAACAGGAUUAGAUACCCUGGUAGUC